rnacentral:sRNA from 1 species
ACCCACAGGAUCUGCUCUAGUGGGAGGCCU